CAAAUCAACAACAUCCUGUUCUUUUGUGAGGCUCCGGGCGCCUGCCAGGCGGAGGCAGCUCACAGGCUCUUAAAGCGAUAGCCGCCCCGCCGCCCGUGAAAAGAGGCGGGGUGCGGGAACCUGGAGGAGGGCGACUAGGCUGGGGGGAUGGGGGAGAGGAGGAUGGGGGAAGGGGAGAGAGAGAGCAGGCCUCCACCCUGGCUCCCUUCCCCCCAGCCACGGCUCCACCCCGGGCGGCAAGGAGGAGCCGGGGGCACAGCCGGAAUGCGGAGAAUGACCGGAGGGGGCUCCGCCUGACCUCCCCACCCGCCCCCUUUCGCACGAGCAUCUGCUCCGAAAACUUAAUGAGAUGAAGAAACUGAAGAGGACCAAGGCCCCCAAAAGAAUAGGAUAUCAAGAAUUUAUAUGACCAAACAAGAGAUAGAGAACAUUAUGAAAUGCAAAAUGAAUGAUUUUAAUUAUAUUAAGUUAAAAAGGUUUUGCACAAACCAAACCAAACAAUCAAGAUUAGGAGGA
rnacentral:lncRNA from 1 species